UACGUAGGGUGCGAGCGUUGUCCGGAAUUAUUGGGCGUAAAGAGCUUGUAGGCGGUCUGUCGCGUCUGCUGUGAAAAUCCGGGGCUCAACCCCGGACUUGCAGUGGGUACGGGCAGACUAGAGUGUGGUAGGGGAGACUGGAAUUCCUGGUGUAGCGGUGAAAUGCGCAGAUAUCAGGAAGAACACCCGUGGCGAAGGCGGCUCUCUGGGACGGUACUGACGCUGAGACGCAAAAGCGUGGGGAGCGAACAGG
rnacentral:rRNA from 1 species